ACGCUCGACACCUACGGGAGCAGCAGUGGGGAAUAUUGCACAAUGGGGGAAACCCUGAUGCAGCGACGCCGCGUGAGCGAAGAAGUAUUUCGGUAUGUAAAGCUCUAUCAGCAGGGAAGAAACUGACGGUACCUGACUAAGAAGCACCGGCUAAAUACGUGGCAGCAGCCGCGGUAAUCUGAGCGGGCUGGCAAGGC
rnacentral:rRNA from 1 species